ACGUCGAUAGUGCAAUUGGUUAGCACGUUUCCCCGGAAAAGGUAAGAUACGGAUUCAAUUCCUGUCUGACGCC